GAUAGAUAGAUAGAUAGAUAGAUAGAUGAUAGAUAGAUAGAUAGAUAGAUAGAUAGAUAGAUAGAUAGAUAGAUAGAUCACAAUCCUUUUUUUAGGACUGCAAUGUUAUCUACAAAAUGCACAUGGAAGUCAUGUUCACAGAAAUGUUUUAGUCAAGGGCUCUUUUAUCCCAACAGAUAUGUAAAUCAAGGCACAAUUUCCCCUUUAAAGGAGCCCAUGGUUUCCCUUUUCAGAAAACACCCACCAACCUAAGCCUUGUGCUAUUUGCUGAAUCCUCUCUUGGCAAUUCCCUCCACUCAUUAGAGGGAGCAAAAAUGUGGCUAAACCUUGUAUCCUUACUAGUACUCCUCAAAGGAGUCCAAUCUCAAGUGCAGCUGGUGGAGUCUGGAGGGGAUGUGAGAAGACCUGGAGAGUCCCUCCGUCUCUCCUGCCAAGCCUCUGGAUUCACCUUCAGCAGCUAUGCAAUGUACUGGGUGAGACAGGCUCCUGGGAAAGGACUGGAAUGGGUGUCAUACAUAAACUACAAUUCAGGAAUUCUUACAUACUCGGACAAAGUGAAGGGCCGCUUCACCAUCUCCAGGGACAAUGCCAAAAGCCAGCUCUAUCUGCAAAUGAACAGCCUCCAAGCUGAAGACACGGCAGUCUAUUACUGUGCUACAUACACAGUGAGUGGAAGUGAAUCUGCUGCUAUGCAAGAACCUUCCUUUCUUCAGAGCAGCUCUUCACCUUGUCUAAACCUCCAAUCCUGGGUUAUCAAUGAGAUUUGA